rnacentral:rRNA from 1 species
UACGUAGGGCGCAAGCGUUGUCCGGAAUUAUUGGGCGUAAAGAGCUCGUAGGCGGCUUGUCACGUCGAUUGUGAAAGCCCGAGGCUUAACUUCGGGUCUGCAGUCGAUACGGGCUAGCUAGAGUGUGGUAGGGGAGAACGGAAUUCCUGGUGUAGCGGUGAAAUGCGCAGAUAUCAGGAGGAACACCGGUGGCGAAGGCGGUUCUCUGGGCAUUACCUGACGCUGAGGAGCGAAAGUGUGGGGAGCGAACAGG